rnacentral:rRNA from 1 species
UACAGAGGUCCCGAGCGUUGUUCGGAUUCAUUGGGCGUAAAGGGUGCGUAGGCGGCGGGGCAAGUCUGAUGUGAAAUCCCGGGGCUCAACCCCGGAACUGCAUUGGAUACUGCCUUGCUUGAGUACUGGAGAGGAGACUGGAAUUUACGGUGUAGCAGUGAAAUGCGUAGAUAUCGUAAGGAAGGCCAGUGGCGAAGGCGGCCUGCUGGGCUAUGGCUGACACUGAGGCGCGACAGCGUGGGGAGCAAACAGG